rnacentral:tRNA from 1 species
AGGAUUAUAGUUAAUCAUAACAUCUGGGUUGCAUUCAGAAAGUACUAUUGUUAGUUUAUCUUU